AUCCAGCCGGUGAGUCCCAAAUAGGACGAAAUGAGUAUCUUGGAU
rnacentral:hammerhead_ribozyme from 1 species